AGCAAACUUGAUAAAUAAUCCCCAGUGCAGCCUUUCUUGUACGGCUAAAUUUCUUUCCUACCCGCAUACAAAUAGUGCUAUCCCCCUUCAGAGACACUAGCCACUGUAGGUGGCAGCUAUAAAAAUUGCAUCUAAUUUUUUUUCAACUUGAUAUUUCAAAUGAUGUUCAGCAGAAAUGAUAUGACAAGUUGCAGAAGUCCAGCAAGGAGGUGGAUUUUCACUGGAAACAAUAGAAAUGUUGCUUAUUCUGCAAUGGGAAACUUCUUCCCCGUUCACAGAAUUUCCUGAAUCUCCGAGCAGGUUUUUAGGAUGUGGGAAACUUUUGCUGCUUAGAAUGAAACCGUUAUUUUCUUCUCUGCAGAACGAUCUGUAUAUUGGUCCUUGAUUUAAAAGUUCUUCACUAUUCCACGUCUAUCCCCAUGUCCCAGUACCUGAAAUUCAGUUAGACUUCCACUGCAUGGCUUUUGAAUUGAAGAACUGGGGGUAGAAGGAAAGGAAGCAAGACAAAAUUUAACCAGCAGACAGGGCACUUUCCUUGCACACAGGAGACUGCCUUUUUCUCUGGGAGUCUGUGACUUUGGAUGAAUUACUUCCCAUCUCAUCUCUUUCCUUGCUUUUUGUCUACCUUGUCCUUUUAGUGGCAUUACUCUUCUGAAAAGGAAUGCUCUGUUAUUAUCUGCUUGACUGGCACAUUGUAGUGGCAGCUUGAUUGUGAUUAAGGUCUCCGGUCACUGCAGCACCACCACAGUUGCUAGGAAUUGAGACAUUACACGGCAGUGACUGUGCCAACCCUGCUGGACCAUACCCUUCUCGCUGUGACCUUCCAGCCAUGGAAGACACGUAGAAGCAGCACUUCAGUGUUUUCAUUUCCUUCUUUGCUUAGCAAUAUUGGAUCUCUUGGAUCAUUGGAUUGAGCCUACUGCUAUUAUAGGUACAACAGCAUUCAAUUCCUUUCCUAAGCCUGGUAAGUUCUAUCUUAAAACUGUUAGAAUGGCUCCCACCAGAUGUCUGUUUUAAAACCUUCAUAUUUCACACUUCUAAGUAUUAUUAGAUUUCAUCUGUGCUAGUGCACCCAGGAUAGCAGAGUCCCAUUCUGAAGAUGCACCAUAUGACAGAGGGAAGUUUUUCUGCUGGGCUUAUUUUCCCCACUUUCCUGAAAGCCAUAUAGUAAAUCAAACAAAUAUUCUGUAGUUUUGCCACUGUAGCUGUAUAUGUGUGAUAAGGUGUGGUGAUAUUUUUUUCCUCAUGUUCUUAAUAAAUGUACUGUCUCAUCAAAGCUUUGUAGAAUAGGCUGAGCCUUAUUUGCAGACAACAGUCGUACCAUUGCACCUGCAUUGUUUUUGGAGAUAGUUAAAGAUAUUGGUCAAGUAUGAAGGAAGGAUUUGGUUCAGAUCAGUUGUGGAAAAGAAGGGGAUAAGGGAGGCAAGCAUUUAGGUCCCUUGCAGGUGCAAAAAGGCAAACGAACAUUUGAGUACCUCAGGUCACUUGCAAGGACAGGAAAAUGCCACACAAAGAGCCAGGGGGAGGAACAGCAGUUUUUUCUCUUGCUUGUAAGUUGGUGAUGUUUAACCCUUUGCAUCUUCUCCCCAGUGCAACGCAGCUGGCAUGGGAAAGUUGCCCGUAUGGGACUGGCAACAAGCUGUAACCAUGUGAUCUUUGCUUUCCUCAAAUGUAGAUUGCCUUGCUGUCAUAACCGGAUCCUGCUCAGUCAUGUGCCUUUGCCCUUGGUCAAAACAAUACACCUCUUUUUUCAGACCAUCUUAAAUCAUCUGACAAGCCCCCUCAAGAGGAAGAUAGCACUUCACCCAAGAAGUUGCUGAACUGAUUUCAUCGCAUUGAUCUUCUUCACAUGAACAAAGCCUUACUAAAAGUUUAAACUUAAAAUCUUCUCGGAAAAAAAAAAAUUGGCUGUGACCUUUGGUAUGCACCUGAUUUUUCCUGUUCCUUGAAGAAGCCUUUCAGUGCUCAUCGCUUCAGGGAAUGGGAAAGUAGGAAGCUCACUGACAACUGUUUUCCAACACUAAUUUGCUGCCUCUUUAGAGGACAACGGCUUUUGCUUAGAGACUUUCCUGCAGGAGCUGAAAAGUAGGUUCUGGAAAUGGCAUUCCUCCAGAGGCAAAUAACAGGAUGAGGAUUUUCAAAUUACAAAACAAAUUCAUGACAUAAAUCCAGCAAAAUUCACAGAGCACUUAAAAUCUGCCUGAAUCGCACUGCAUUAGGUGGGAACUGCAUUUCCUUUUCCACUCCCCCUUACCUGUCUGAAAGCCCUUUCCCUGUUUUUCACUUUGUACCUGCUCUUUGCUCUCAGGUCAUGCGGCACCCUUCGUGAGACAUGAUUACAAAUAUUUGCAUUUGCUGUACCAACAUACAUUGCAUUGAUUGCUAGGGUCAGCGAAGUUUGCGUGUAUGAGUUUGAGGAGGCUGCAUCUUUAAAAGCAACCACAAGAAUGAAACUUGGGCACAGAAUCACAGCCCGUGAUGGGACCACGAGGCCUUUCCAAUCGCCACAGGCAACAGCGGUGCCCAGAAUACAGAAGAAUUUAACUAAGUAGUCUUUAAGAUGUGCAAAAUAGGUAUGAAGUUCCAAGACCUCCUCCCCCGUGCAUCUGAUAUCUCUGCUAGCCAUGGACAAACAUUAUGGAAGAUGCAUAGCGCAGAUUUUCUUGCAGAAGAAUGGAAGUAAGUCAGGGGCAUUUUAAAUGUUUUCACUAGGGAAACAACUGAGCGUGAGACCCCGAUGCAAUAGGCACGUCACCAGGAUUAGGUGUAAUUUUGGUGUUCCUGACAGUAAAAUUUGGAAAGAGUAAUCUUAUAUAUGCUCAGAUGAGAUAAGCUACACAUCAGUUGUCAAGGUGAAAAGAACUUCAGGUAAAUGGGCUUUUUUUUUUUUUUUUUUUUUUGCUAGCACUGAUUACUUGUGUUUAAUUGAUUAACUCCCUUUGGUUUGAUCUCUCAAGUCAGUAAUGUGAUUAAUUAAUAUUACUUAGAAGGAUUUUAUACAUACGGUUGGAAUGUGCUGUGUGCUAUGUGCUGCUUCUUCUAGCAGUGUUAGACACAGGCGUAUUCUGAAGAGACUCAUGCCAAAUCAUUGCCUUUUAUUUAAACAGCGACGUUGGUUGCAGAUCUUGUUCUCUCUGCCUACCCAUUUAGUCACUCUGAUGGUCCUUCACAGUCUCUGCAAGCUUCCAAAAUAUUUUAAACAUGAGAUAUUAAUACUCUUUUUUCACAGUGGUCCGGAUGUUCCCACUCUCCAAAGAAUUAAAAUGAAAGUGGUAAACAUGGAACCACAGAACAUCCCGAGUUGGAAGGGACCCAGAAAGUUUAUUGAGUCCAACUUCUGGCUCCACAUGACCACCCAAAAUCUAAAUUCUGUGUUAGCUUGGGGCCAUGACCAUGCCCUGUGCAGCCUGUUCCAUGCCCACCUCCCUCUGGUGCAGAACCUUUCCCUAACCCCCAUCUGUCCUUCUCCUGAUGGAGCUCCAUGCUGUUCCCUCUGGCCCUGUCACUGUCACUGGAGAGCAGAGCUCAGCGCUGCCCCUCAGCUCCCUGUGAGGAGCUGUAGGCUGCCAUGAGGCCUCCCCUCAGCUCCUCUGCUCUGGGCUGAGCAAACCAGGGGAGCUCAGCCGCUCCGCAUACAUCUUGCCCUCCAGACCCUUCACCAUCUCUGAUUUUGGACACUCUCAAGUAGCCUUAUGUCCCUCUUACACUGUGGUUCCCAAACUGCAUCCACUGCUCAAGGUGAGGCUGCACAGCACAGAGAGGAGCGGGGCAACCCCUUCCCACAACUGCUGAUGAUUAUUUUGUAAUUUACAUCUCCUUCAUCUAGAAUACUGUGAAUACACAAGACUCUGAAAACAUCAUACAUACUUUAAUAUGCAUGUACACAGUGUAACUCAACGUUAAGUAUUCACAAAAAAUUGUCUAUUUGUUGCAGCUGUGGUAAAGCAGCAGUUUUGCUACGGGGAACAGUAUCGGGCUGUUUGCAGUCAUUUGUCCUGGGUAUUUGGAGUGCUGGAGCAUACUGGUUGUCUGGAUGCAUGGCUUUUAUUCGGGACUGAUGCAAAAUUAAUUACAAUUCCUGACGCUGUAUGUGCAGCUGUUUUGUCUUGAGAAAAAGAAAAUCAUAUUGGCACAAAACUUUCAACAGAACUCAGAAAGAUCAGGGGUACUGGCACUUGUGUUUGCAAGAAUCUGAGUAACUUUGCAAGUAGAACAAGAAUCAAAAUCUUUACUGGUCCAAAUACAAAAAACAGUGACUCCAAGAGAAAAUCAUUAGACAUAACCUUCUAGAAAAUUGGACUUCGUUAAGUGUAAUCUUAGGCUACAGUACAUUUUAAUUAACUUAAUGCCUCUUUCUGAUGCAUGUUGGUUUCUACAAAUACUAUCUGUGUAUACGGUAUUUCUGAAGAAGCCGGCAUCGUGUUGAAUUCUGGUGAUCUUUCUCUCAGGUGAGAUUCCUUUUUGUUUCUCUUUUCUUUUUUCCUUCCCAACAGAAAGCAGUCUCCAUAGUGACCGACAGUAUUUAUAUUUAAGCCAAUCUGCUUACCUUGCUUGGCUAAUGAGGAAAAAUGAUAUUUAACUUUAAGGUCAGCUAAUUAAUAAAAAGAACUUAGCAAUAUUUUAUAUUCUUCUUUGCCUAAGAUGCUGCUGUGAACUAUCAAGUGCUUUAUUUUUUUUUUGUUAGUGCAAUGGUAUAGAUACACAAAAUAUAAACUUCUCUUGUGUCUUCUCUUGUGUCCCAAGGUGCAGUAGAAACCAUGCAUGAGGAAAGCACGAGCAAUUAAUUGUAAACUGUGGAUCUUUUUACAGGUGUGGGAAAGACGAAUUAAUGGACAAAAAGUUACAAGACAUUAAAAGCCAAAGUUUUGCUUUU